UACGGAGGGGGCUAGCGUUGUUCGGAAUUACUGGGCGUAAAGCGCGUGUAGGCGGCCACGCAAGUCGGGCGUGAAAUCCCACGGCUCAACCGUGGAAGUGCACUCGAAACUGCGUAGCUAGAGUCCUGGAGAGGAAGGUGGAAUGCUUGGUGUAGAGGUGAAAUUCGUAGAUAUCAAGCGGAACACCGGUGGCGAAGGCGGCCUUCUGGACAGUGACUGACGCUGAGACGCGAAAGCGUGGGGAGCAAACAGG
rnacentral:rRNA from 1 species